ensembl:lncRNA
AGAAACCCUCAUAGAAUUUGUAAUGGUUAUAAUGGGAAUUAUAUUGGUUUUAAUGGAAACUGUAAUGGUCCCUGUGGACCUCUACCGGUAAUUUGUUGUUGUUUCUAAUGGUGGAAUGUUCUGUUCUGUUUCGCUGAUGGUUUGUAAUGGUGUUUGUAGUGGAAACCAUUAGAAUUUCUGUCAUGGUUUCUGUUGAUAUUGUUGUUGUUUUUUUGGAUAACAGCAGAACUGAUUAUAUUUACAGGUAACUGCAGAAUUCUGGUGUUAGGCUUUUGUUCUUUAUUGUAGCGAAUAUCUCAACCGAGUGUAACUUAAACGAGCUACAAUGGAUUUUUAUUUUUAUUAUUUUUAAGUGAUGAGCAUACCAAAGUACGAUGAUUUGAUUUUUCUUUUCUUUUUUUAAAGCUGUGAAUGGAGGUACGUGAUGUUGACACUACUGUUUAGAUUUAACACUAAAGAACUGUUUUCUGGCUCCAAAGCGCUUGAACAAGAUAACCCAACAUGGCUCGUGCUGAAAGAGUGACCGAGGGACCUGUUAGCUUCCGUUUACUAGGGUGUGUGUGUGUGUGUGUGUGUGUGUGUGUGUGUGGAUUGAUUUUGGAGCUGUAAAGUCUUAUGAAUAUGACUGUAUUGGGGUUUUUUUUGUGUGUUUUUACACUGUUUCAUUCUGAGGUGUGUUGAUUUGUGUGUGCAUGUUCAUUAUUUGUGUGUGUGUGUGUGUGUGUGUGUGUGUGUGUGUGUGUGUGUGUGUGUGUGUGUGUGUGUGUGUGUGUGUGUGUGUGUGUGUUGAAUGUAGCUGGGAGGUGAUGACGGGUCGACACUUGGGUUGUACACCAUGUUAAUGUUCAGCGUUUUUUUUUCCCCCCUGCAAUAAACAUCUGACGGAUCCAGACAUCAGAACGCGUCUGGAGUGUGUGUCGUUAUUGAGUGUUCAUCAGUUUACUUCCUGCCCCUGUCGAGACACGUUUAGAGAACAUCACACGACGCUGCUGCGGCUCAGCUCUUCACACAUUCUGACCAAUCAGAACUAAGUUUUCUAGAACCGCAGCUCCGACCGUAGC